ACAAGGUCUCCGUUGGUGAACCAGCGGAGGGAUCAUUACCGAGUUUACAACUCCCAAACCCCUGUGAACAUACCACUUGUUGCCUCGGCGGAUCAGCCCGCUCCCGGUAAAACGGGACGGCCCGCCAGAGGACCCCUAAACUCUGUUUCUAUAUGUAACUUCUGAGUAAAACCAUAAAUAAAUCAAAACUUUCAACAACGGAUCUCUUGGUUCUGGCAUCGAUGAAGAACGCAGCAAAAUGCGAUAAGUAAUGUGAAUUGCAGAAUUCAGUGAAUCAUCGAAUCUUUGAACGCACAUUGCGCCCGCCAGUAUUCUGGCGGGCAUGCCUGUUCGAGCGUCAUUUCAACCCUCAAGCACAGCUUGGUGUUGGGACUCGCGUUAAUUCGCGUUCCUCAAAUUGAUUGGCGGUCACGUCGAGCUUCCAUAGCGUAGUAGUAAAACCCUCGUUACUGGUAAUCGUCGCGGCCACGCCGUUAAACCCCAACUUCUGAAUGUUGACCUCGGAUCAGGUAGGAAUACCCGCUGAACUUAAGCAUAU
rnacentral:rRNA from 1 species